GGGGAUGACUGGUUUCGACUUGGAACGGUAGUUCUAGGAGAAGCGGGCCGAGGACUCAGGGUUAUCUCGUAAACGAUCCUUGAAACCCAUAAGUGCCAACAAUGUUCGCACUGACUUCGCUCUCGCUGCCUGAUCAGCGAUCGAAGGGUCAGCCUGGGAGCGCCUCCGCCCCAGUGACUGGCCUCAUUUAGGAGGCUCACCUGCCGGCUUUUGUCUUAGGAGUCGGUCAGGGACAUUCAUAAGACUGGGCUUGUUCAUGAAGUGCUUUGAGAAACAUGAGAGCCAAGUAAGACGCUAACAAAAGCUGCGCCCGGAGAAUGCUUAGAUCGCCUUUUAAGGACGGGGGUUCGACUCCCCCCAUCUCCACCC
rnacentral:tmRNA from 1 species